rnacentral:rRNA from 1 species
CCUACGGGGGGCAGCAGUGGGGAAUAUUGGACAAUGGGCGAAAGCCUGAUCCAGCCAUGCCGCGUGUGUGAAGAAGGCCUUCGGGUUGUAAAGCACUUUCAGUGGGGAAGAAAGCCUUGGGGCUAAUACCCUCGAGGAAGGACAUCACCCACAGAAUAAGCACCGGCUAACUCCGUGCCAGCAGCCGCGGUAAUACGGAGGGUGCGAGCGUUAAUCGGAAUUACUGGGCGUAAAGCGCGCGUAGGCGGUCUGAUAAGCCGGUUGUGAAAGCCCCGGGCUCAACCUGGGAACGGCAUCCGGAACUGUCAGGCUAGAGUGCAGGAGAGGAAGGUAGAAUUCCCGGUGUAGCGGUGAAAUGCGUAGAGAUCGGGAGGAAUACCAGUGGCGAAGGCGGCCUUCUGGACUGACACUGACGCUGAGGUGCGAAAGCGUGGGUAGCAAACAGGAUUAGAUACCCCUGUAGUC